GUCAGAGUAGCUCAGCUGGUUAGAGCACAGGAUUCAUAACCCUGAGGUCGAGAGUUCAAGUCUCUCCUCUGACA
rfam:Synechococcus WH7803 complete genome sequence.